GACGAACGCUGGCGGCGUGCUUAACACAUGCAAGUCGAACGGUAAGGCCCUUCGGGGUACACGAGUGGCGAACGGGUGAGUAACACGUGGGUGAUCUGCCCUGCACUUCGGGAUAAGCCUGGGAAACUGGGUCUAAUACCGGAUAGGACCACUGCCCGCAUGGGUGGUGGUGGAAAGCUUUUGCGGUGUGGGAUGGGCCCGCGGCCUAUCAGCUUGUGGGUGGGGUGAUGGACUACCAAGGCGACGACGGGUAGCCGGCCUGAGAGGGUGACCGGCCACACUGGGACUGAGAUACGGCCCAGACGCCUACGGGAGGCAGCAGUGGGGAAUAUUGCACAAUGGGCGCAAGCCUGAUGCAGCGACGCCGCGUGAGGGAUGACGGCCUUCGGGUUGUAAACCUCUUUCAGCACCGACGAAGCGCAAGUGACGGUAGGUGCAGAAGAAGGACCGGCCAACUACGUGCCAGCAGCCGCCGUAA
rnacentral:rRNA from 1 species